ensembl:misc_RNA 7SK 7SK RNA
AUAUUCUUGGGACUGGCUGUGACAUCUGUCACCCCCACUGAUGGCCAGGGUUGAUUUGGCUGAUUUGACUGGCUAGGCAGGUGUCCCCUUCCUCCCUCACCGCUCCAUGUGCGUCCCUCCGGAAGCUGUGUGCUAGGUUGAAGAGAACGACCUUCCCGGAAUAGAGGAGGACUGGUCUUUGGUCAGGGUAUACAGAUAGCUGUGCUGUCCUGCUCGAACUUCAAACAAGCUCUCAAGGGACAUUAUAUUCUGUCUGAAGACUGACAGCAAUGCCGGAAUCAUCAAAUGAAAAAGAACUGGCAUUAUGAAAAUAAUGCAUUAGU